rnacentral:rRNA from 1 species
AUUGAACGCUGGCGGCAUGCUUUACACAUGCAAGUCGAACGGCAGCGCGGGCUUCGGCCUGGCGGCGAGUGGCGAACGGGUGAGUAAUGCAUCGGAACGUGCCCAGCAGUGGGGGAUAGCCCGGCGACAGCCGGAUUAAUACCGCAAACGACCUGAGGGUGAAAGCGGGGGACCGAAAGGCCUCGCGCUAUUGGAGCGGCCGAUGUCGGAUUAGCUAGUUGGUGGGGUAAAGGCUUACCAAGGCGACGAUCCGUAGCUGGUCUGAGAGGACGACCAGCCACACUGGGACUGAGACACGGCCCAGACUCCUACGGGAGGCAGCAGUGGGGAAUUUUGGACAAUGGGGGCAACCCUGAUCCAGCCAUGCCGCGUGCGGGAAGAAGGCCUUCGGGUUGUAAACCGCUUUUGUUCGGGAAGAAAUCCUCUGGGCUAAUACCCCGGGGGGAUGACGGUACCGGAAGAAUAAGCACCGGCUAACUACGUG